GAAGAUUUAGUUAAUUUAUAACAUUAGAAUGUCAAACUUAAGUAACUUAAAAAGUAUUCUUCU
rnacentral:tRNA from 1 species